rnacentral:snRNA from 1 species
AGAUGUGAGGGCGAUCUGGCUGUGACAUCUUACUGAUCAGCAGGGUUGAUCAGGCUGAUCUGGCUGGCCAGGCGGGUGUCCCUUUCCUCCCUCACCACUCCAUGUGCGUCCCUCCUGAAGCUGUGUGCUCGGUCGAAGAGGACGGCCUUCCCUGAAUAGAGACGGACCGGUCUUCGGUCGAGGUUAUACAAGUAGCUGUGCUCCCAGGCUAGAACCUCCAAACAAGCUGUCAGAAUCAAAAUACAACCAUAAAAGCACUAGAGGAAAACAUGGACAAACCCAUAACCUCAUAGUGG